AUUGCCCUAGUAACGGCGAGUGAAGCGGCAACAGCUCAAAUUUGAAAUCUGGCUCCUUUGGGGUCCGAGUUGUAAUUUGUAGAGGGUGCUUUGGCGUUGGUUGUGGUCUAAGUUCCUUGGAACAGGACGUCACAGAGGGUGAGAAUCCCGUACGUGGCCGCCAGCCUUCGCCGUGUAAAGCCCCUUCGAUGAGUCGAGUUGUUUGGGAAUGCAGCUCUAAAUGGGAGGUAAAUUUCUUCUAAAGCUAAAUAUUUGCCAGAGACCGAUAGCGCACAAGUAGAGUGAUCGAAAGAUGAAAAGCACUUUGGAAAGAGAGUCAAAAAGCACGUGAAAUUGUUGAAAGGGAAGCGCUUGCAGCUAGACGUGCCUUGGGUUGAUCAGCCGGACUUUUGCCCGGUGCACUCUUCCUUUGGCAGGCCAGCAUCAGUUUGGGCGGCUGGAUAAAGGUCUGUUAAACGUGACUUCCUUCGGGGAGAGCUUAUAGGGCAGACGACAUGCAGCCAGCCUGAACUGAGGUCCGCGCAUCUGCUAGGAUGCUGGCAUAAUAGCUGUAAGCGGCCCGUCUUGAAACACGGACCAAGGAGUCUAACAUCUAUGCGAGUGUUUGGGUGUCAAGCCCGAGCGCGUAAUGAAAGUAAACGGAGGUGGGAACCUUUUAGGCGCACCAUCGACCGAUCUUGAUGUCUUCGGAUGGAUUUGAGUAAGAGCAUAGCUGUUGGGACCCGAAAGAUGGUGAACUAUGCCUGAAUAGGGUGAAGCCAGAGGAAACUCUGGUGGAGGCUCGCAGCGGUUCUGACGUGCAAAUCGAUCGUCA
rnacentral:rRNA from 1 species